CAUACCUAUUCGAAGGGAUAGGGUCGGUUUGGCCGGAUUUCACACAGGUGUUGCAUGGCUGUCGUCAGCUCGUGUCGUGAGAUGUUGGGUUAAGUCCCGCAACGAGCGCAACCCUCAUCCUUAGUUACCAUCAGGUUAUGCUGGGGACUUUAAGGAAACUGCCAGUGAUAAACUGGAGGAAGGUGGGGAUGAUGUCAAGUCAUCAUGGCCCUUAUGGAGUGGGCUACACACGUGCUACAAUGGUGAUUACAAUGGGCUGCAAGGUCGCAAGGCUGAGCUAAUCCUAAAAAAUCAUCUCAGUUCGGAUUGUUCUCUGCAACUCCAGAGCAUGAAGUUGGAAUCGCUAGUAAUCGUGGAUCAGCAUGCCACGGUGAAUACGUUCUCGGGUCUUGUACACACUGCCCGUCACGCCAUGGGAAUUGGUUUCACUCGAAGCU
rnacentral:rRNA from 1 species